UGUAUUUUUUCAGAGGGUGGCAUCAGUUGCGAGGUAUUUCUCCUGCAUAUUCGAUUCAGAUUGUACAAAAAUCAAGCUGUCCGACAGUAGAUGUUAUAGUGUAAUUUGUCCACCAACGGUAUUCAUGGAUUCCAAUGAGACGAACACAAUUUGCGUAUAUAACAUACCUCCUGGCAUCACAAAAGACGACCUUUCCCGACACUUUGAAGAACAAGGGGAGGUAAAGGGAAUAGCCUUUCCAUACAGGCGGCAGAACAACAAAGCAAAAAUAACAUUUAAAGAUGCCACAGCGGCCGGUCAAGCACUGAAGAAUAAAGAGCAAGUGAUAAAUGGACAGGCCUUGAUCCUGAUACCAG